GACGAACGCUGGCGGCGUGCUUAACACAUGCAAGUCGAGCGGGAACCUCGGGAGGGGUAACCCUUCCGAGGGGAGAGCGGCGAACGGGUGAGUAACACGUGGGCAACCUGCCCCGGACACCGGGAUAACCCAGGGAAACCUGAGCUAAUACCGGAUACUCCGGCACGAUCGCAUGGUCGUUCCGGGAAAGCUCCGACGGUCCGGGAUGGGCCCGCGGCCUAUCAGCUUGUUGGUGAGGUAACGGCCCACCAAGGCGACGACGGGUAGCUGGUCUGAGAGGACGGCCAGCCACACUGGGACUGAGACACGGCCCAGACUCCUACGGGAGGCAGCAGUGGGGAAUCUUGCGCUAAUGCGCGAAAGCGUGACGCAGCGACGCCGCGUGGGGGAUGAAGGCC
rnacentral:rRNA from 1 species